GACGUAGGGCGCGAGCGUUGUCCGGAUUUAUUGGGCGUAAAGAGCUCGUAGGCGGCUUGUCGCGUCGAAUGUGAAAUCUCAGGGCUCAACUCUGACACUGCAUUCGAUACGGGCAGGCUCGAGUUCGGUAGGGGAGACUGGAAUUCCUGGUGUAGCGGUGAAAUGCGCAGAUAUCAGGAGGAACACCGAUGGCGAAGGCAGGUCUCUGGGCAUUAAACUGACGCUGAGGAGCGAAAGCAUGGGGGAGCGAACAGG
rnacentral:rRNA from 1 species